UACGGAGGUCCCGAGCGUUGUCCGGAUUUAUUGGGCGUAAAGCGAGCGCAGGUGGUUUAUUAAGUCUGGUGUAAAAGGCAGUGGCUCAACCAUUGUAUGCAUUGGAAACUGGGAGACUUGAGUGCAGAAGAGGAGAGUGGAACUCCAUGUGUAGCGGUGAAAUGCGUAGAUAUAUGGAAGAACACCAGUGGCGAAAGCGGCUCUCUGGUCUGUAACUGACGCUGAGGUUCGAAAGCGUGGGUAGCAAACAGG
rnacentral:rRNA from 1 species